AUGUUGUUUCAAUAUAGCCAUAUUAAAUCACAUACACACACAGAGACAAAUGCAUUUUAAAAACCCUGCAUUUGUAUUCUCCUCCCCUCAUGAUUGUUAUUUUUGACAUCAUGUUUUACAUCUAAUUGUUCUGUGUAUUCCUUAAUUGCUUAUUGUGGAUAUAGGUGACUUAAUAAUUUUUUCUUUCAACCUUCCUAAUAGCUUUCUGUGGGGAUGAUUUCAUACCUUACUGUAUGUUUACCUUUACUGAUGAGCUUUUUCAUUUUGUAAUUUUCAUGUUUCUAGUUCUGUGACAUCUUCUUUU